rnacentral:rRNA from 1 species
UACGUAGGGGGCAAGCGUUGUUCGGAAUUACUGGGCGUAAAGGGCGCGUAGGCGGCAUGGCAAGUCGGGGGUGAAAGGCCUGGGCUCAACCGAGGAACUGCUUUCGAGACUGCCAAGCUAGAGUGCGGAAGGGGCAUCUGGAAUUCCCAGUGUAGCGGUGAAAUGCGUAGAUAUUGGGAAGAACACCUGAGGCGAAGGCGGGAUGCUGGGCCGACACUGACGCUGAGGCGCGAAAGCCAGGGGAGCAAACGGG